AUACUUAACUGGCAGGGGAGAUACCAUGAUCAUGAACAUAGUUUUCCUUGGGCAAGUCUUAUCCAUUGCACGCUGGAUGAGCUAAACUCUGUGAUUUCCCCAACUGCAGGAAACUCAACUGCAUAAUUUGUGGCAGUGGGGGACUGUGAUCACACUCUCCCCUA
ensembl:snRNA U1 U1 spliceosomal RNA